GGAUGAACGCUAGCGGCAGGCUUAACACAUGCAAGUCGAGGGGUAUGGUUUUCGGACCAAGAGACCGGCGCACGGGUGCGUAACGCGUAUGCAAUCUACCUUUUGCAGAGGGAUAGCCCAGAGAAAUUUGGAUUAAUACCUCAUAGUAUAGUACUUUGGCAUCAAGGAACUAUUAAAGUCACAACGGCAAAAGAUGAGCAUGCGUCCCAUUAGCUAGUUGGUAAGGUAACGGCUUACCAAGGCUACGAUGGGUAGGGGGUCCUGAGAGGGAGAUCCCCCACACUGGUACUGAGACACGGACCAGACUCCUACGGGAGGCAGCAGUGAGGAAUAUUGGACAAUGGGCGCAAGCCUGAUCCAGCCAUGCCGCGUGCAGGAUGACGGUCCUAUGGAUUGUAAACUGCUUUUAUACAGGAAGAAACACUCCGACGUGUCGGAGCUUGACGGUACUGUAAGAAUAAGGAUCGGCUAACUCCGUG
rnacentral:rRNA from 1 species